GAUGAACGCUGGCGGCGUGCCUAAUACAUGCAAGUCGAGCGAACAGACGAGGAGCUUGCUCCUCUGACGUUAGCGGCGGACGGGUGAGUAACACGUGGAUAACCUACCUAUAAGACUGGGAUAACUUCGGGAAACCGGAGCUAAUACCGGAUAAUAUAUUGAACCGCAUGGUUCAAUAGUGAAAGACGGUUUUGCUGUCACUUAUAGAUGGAUCCGCGCCGCAUUAGCUAGUUGGUAAGGUAACGGCUUACCAAGGCAACGAUGCGUAGCCGACCUGAGAGGGUGAUCGGCCACACUGGAACUGAGACACGGUCCAGACUCCUACGGGGAGCAGCAGUAGGGAAUCUUCCGCAAUGGGCGAAAGCCUGACGGAGCAACGCCGCGUGAGUGAUGAAGGUCUUCGGAUCGUAAAACUCUGUUAUUAGGGAAGAACAAAUGUGUAAGUAACUAUGCACGUCUUGACGGUACCUAAUCAGAAAGCCACGGCUAACUACGUG
rnacentral:rRNA from 1 species